rnacentral:rRNA from 1 species
CGUGAAGUCGGAAUCGCUAGUAAUCGCGGAUCAGCAUGCCGCGGUGAAUACGUUCCCGGGCCUUGUACACACCGCCCGUCACACCAUGAGAGUCGGGAACACCCGAAGUCCGUAGCCUAACCGCAAGGAGGGCCCGGCCGAAGGUGGGUUCGAUAAUUGGGGUGAAGUCGUAACAAGGUAUC